rnacentral:rRNA from 1 species
UUGACCUCAAAUCGGGUGAGACUACCCGCUGAACUUAAGCAUAUCAAUAAGCGGAGGAAAAGAAACUAACAAGGAUUCCCCUAGUAACUGCGAGUGAAGCGGGAAAAGCUCAAAUUUAAAAUCUGGUGGCCUUUGGUCAUCCGAGUUGUAAUUUAGAGAAGCGUCUUCCGCGCUGGACCAUGCACAAGUCUCCUGGAAUGGAGCGUCAUAGAGGGUGAGAAUCCCGUCUUUGGCAUGGAUGCACCAGGGCUUCUGUGAUGCGCUCUCGAAGAGUCGAGUUGUUUGGGAAUGCAGCUCAAAAUGGGUGGUGAACUCCAUCUAAAGCUAAAUAUUGGCGAGAGACCGAUAGCGAACAAGUACCGUGAGGGAAAGAUGAAAAGCACUUUGGAAAGAGAGUGAAACAGUACGUGAAAUUGUUGAAAGGGAAACGCUUGAAGUCAGUCGCGUCGACCGAGACUCAGCCUCGCCUUGGCUUGGUGUACUUCUCGGGCGACGGGUCAGCAUCAAUUUUGCCCCUCGGAUAAUGACAAGGGAAAGGUAGCACCUUUAUGGGUGUGUUAUAGUCUCCUGUCGCAUGCGAGGGUUGGGAUUGAGGAACUCAGCACGCGCCUUUUGGCGUCGGGGCUUCGGCCUACGUACGUGCUUAGGAUGCUGGCAUAAUGGCUUUAAACGACCCGUCUUGAAACACGGACCAAGGAGUCUAACAUGCCCGCGAGUGUUCGGGUGGAAAACCCGUGCGCGUAAUGAAAGUAAAAGUUGGGACCUCUGUCGUGGAGAGCACCGACGCCCGGACCAGACCUUCUGUGACGGAUCUGCGGUAGAGCGUGCAUGUUGGGACCCGAAAGAUGGUGAACUAUGCUUGAAUAGGGUGAAGCCAGAGGAAACUCUGGUGGAGGCUCGUAGCGAUUCUGACGUGCAAAUCGAUCGUCAAAUUUGGGUAUAGGGGCGAAAGACUAAUCGAACCAUCUAGUAGCUGGUUCCUGC